rnacentral:rRNA from 1 species
GUGGGGAAUAUUGGACAAUGGGCGCAAGCCUGAUCCAGCCAUGCCGCGUGAGUGAUGAAGGCCUUAGGGUUGUAAAGCUCUUUUGUCCGGGAAGAUAAUGACUGUACCGGAAGAAUAAGCCCCGGCUAACUUCGUGCCAGCAGCCGCGGUAAUACGAAGGGGGCUAGCGUUGCUCGGAAUCACUGGGCGUAAAGGGCGCGUAGGCGGACUCUUAAGUCGGGGGUGAAAGCCCAGGGCUCAACCCUGGAAUUGCCUUCGAUACUGAGAGUCUUGAGUUCGGAAGAGGUUGGUGGAACUGCGAGUGUAGAGGUGAAAUUCGUAGAUAUUCGCAAGAACACCAGUGGCGAAGGCGGCCAACUGGUCCGAUACUGACGCUGAGGCGCGAAAGCGUGGGGAGCAAACAGGAUUAGAAACCCCAGUAGUCC